CACGUAGGGUGCGAGCGUUAAUCGGAAUUACUGGGCGUAAAGCGUGCGCAGGCGGCUUCGCAAGUCAGACGUGAAAUCCCCGGGCUUAACCUGGGAAUGGCGUUUGAAACUACGGAGCUGGAGUGUGGCAGAGGGAGGUAGAAUUCCACGUGUAGCGGUGAAAUGCGUAGAUAUGUGGAGGAAUACCGAUGGCGAAGGCAGCCUCCUGGGCCAACACUGACGCUCAUGCACGAAAGCGUGGGGAGCAAACAGG
rnacentral:rRNA from 1 species